CUGGGCUGGACACAAGUCACCCAACACAGGAAAAUAACAGAGGCAACCAUGAGCUGGCCCAGGUACCCAGGCUGCCUGGCCUCCUUACCGAGCGCCUCUGGACCAUCUUGUGUUCCUCCACCCUUUCCUGCCAAGAAGCGUGGCCUCCAGGACAGUAGCAAAGAGAGUAUUUGCUCAAGGGCCCUGGCAAGGAGAGGUGGAGAAGCAAUCCCAUAGAAGACUUUGCCUAUGGAGACACUGAAGAAUAAAGUGCUUGGGAGACGUGGCUCAAGUUUGCUAGGACAUAGAAGAGAUUACCAAAUCCCAAUUGGACGGUGGGGUCUUUCAAGACAAAGACCCAUUAUAUGCCACAUUUUGUCUUGCUUGUCACUGGGCGUCGUAGAUGUCAUCCAUACAAGAAACAUAAAGGAAGACAAAUUACCCAAGGCACCACGACACUGAAUCUGCCAAAGCUUGAGUUGGAGACGCUCACUGACUUCUCCUUAAAUGUCUCUUUAAU